GGGAAUUUUAAAAAGAAGCGGAAAUCAGAGGAAGCCUUGCAGUGUGUGAGCUGUACCCCAGGUGAUCCCACUGAUAUCAGGACAUCUCUGUACAUUUUUCCGGUACCACAUCUCUCAGGGGUAUCACAGACUCCGUCCAUCUAUGCAACCCAAUUCUAAAGACAUCCUGGCUUCAAAAAGCAACGGAGUGAAAGAUAGUUCAUGGAAGUGGAGGGAGAGUCUAUUGUCAACAUAGAAACAAAUGAGAACUUACCUUAACGUUCAGCACGCCCUACAAACUAGAACAUCUCUUCAUUCUCAACACACGCUACAUGCUCAGUCUUCUUAGAGCAGCAAUCCAAGUGCAGACACUGGAGAAAGGGAGGACAUGAUUGUUCUAAGAUAAGUGGAUGCCUCUCCCCUAUCUUCAGUGAACAAGCCAGCACUCCAAUAAAAAGCAAACUUAUCUAAAAUAGUGGCUCUCAACCUUGCUAAUACUGUGACCCUUGAUGCAGUGUUGUGAUUAUCUCCAAGUAUAAAGUUAUAUUCAUUGCUACUUCAGAACUGCAAUUUUUGCCACUGUUUUGACACGUAAUAUAAAUAUCUGAUAUGCAGAUGGUCUUAGGAGAUCCCAGUGAAAGGAUUGUUCAACAUCCCCCCCUUCCCCCCGCCCCACACACACACAAGAGAGGCCAUGACCCACAGGCUGAGAACCACUGAUCUAAAGCUGACACAGGACAGGACUGUCAGAUUCUUAUGAAAACCAACUCAAGCUUACUGACUGACUUCAGCAUAUUAAAGACAUCAUCAAGUCCUCCUUUUUGUAUUAGGCUAUUUAACUAUAGUUAUGCCAUCUCCUGAUAGUAGUCUAUGAAUACUUUAGGUGUUAAGCCUAUCUUGGGUAAAACUGGUCUUUGAUCACUUAGACCAGCCCUAAAUUCCCAUAUACAAUGAUGACCCUGAGCUAAAUGUCAACUACCUGGCCAUUCAACUACUAUCUCUCAGCUUCUGUACAAUUCUUGCUUGCUGUGGAUUUCCAGAGCUGCCUUUUCUGUAUGUGGCACAAUUGUAAGUUUUACCCUUAAAAACUGGAAACAACUAGAGGUCAAGGCUGUUUGCCACAACAAUCUGCUUGGGACAGUCCCAUUGGUAGUUAAUAAAGACUCCAUUCUACU
rnacentral:lncRNA from 1 species